CUCCUCUAUGCUAUCCCCUAUGCCACCUUAGAAAGUGUUUCUAAAAUACAAAUUUCAAGCCGCAAUUCCAGCACCUGGGGAGGCCAAGGCAGGUGGACCACUUGAGGUCAGGAGUUCAAGACCAGCCUGGCCAAUAUGGUGAAACCCUGUCUGUACUGAAAAUACAAAAAUUAGCUGAAUGUGAUGGUGCACACCUGUAAUCCCAGCUACUCGGGUGACUGAGGCACGAGAAUUGCUUGAAUCCAGGGAGUAGAGGUUGCAGUGAGCCGAGGUCACGCCACUGCACUCCAGUGUGGGUGACAAAGCGAGGCUCUGUCUCAAAAUAAAAAAUAAAAAAUAAAAUCAAUUAAUAUAAUCUGUCACAUCAACAGGCUAAAGAAGAAAAAUCACAUGAUCAUAUCAAUAGAUGGAGAAA
rnacentral:lncRNA from 1 species